rnacentral:ncRNA from 1 species
UAUAUGAAGUUCCGGUGCCCCGUUAGCAGGCGGGGAGAAUAGGGAAGCGGGUGUGAAUCCCGCGCGAUCCCGUCACUGUGAUAGAGCGUGUCAGCCCAUUAUGUCACUGGGAAGUGUAAAGCAUCCCGGGAAGGCGGACUGAUAUGGUAAGUUCUUCAGCCAGGAGACCUGCCGGUGCUUAA